AGCCGGAGAGGGGCGCUGGGAGCUGGCAGCGGAGCGGCUGCGAGCGCAGAGCCGGGGCAGGGCGAAGCUCGGAGCCUCUCAGCCCCACAGCCGCCAGUGAGGCAGGGGAGCAAAGCAGGAGCCUGCAGCACCGAGAGGCGGCGGCGAGCGAGGCUCUUGAGACGCCUGGCAGCGGCUCCGGGGGCAGAGCCGGCCCGGCCCAGGCGAGCCUCGCCACGGCCCUCGGCGGCUGCCGUCCGACUCCGUCCCGCCGGCGGGAGCCGCCCCGAGCCCUGCAGGCUUCCGGCCGCGGUGCUCGGCGACGGUGGCUGCCGGUGGAGCCCAGCGGCAGCGAGACGCCAGCGGCGGCAGCCUGCAUCGCCUCUGCUUCUCCCAGCCGGCAGAGGCUGCAAUGACAUCCCCCAGCAGCCUGCUUCAGGCGAAGCUGAAGAGCUGUAGCUCAGCCUUCCUUUGUGGCAGAGCUGUUCCAGCUCCCUGUCUCCUUCUGUGGCCUUCUCUGGCCCCGCUCUUAACUGGUUGAUGCCUUCCCUGUGCUGGGGAGCUGGAUGCAGCAGGUGAGGAGGAGCCACAGCAGAGUGCAGUGGAAGGGCAGAAUCGCCUGCCCUGCUCUGCUGAGCACUUUGAAGAGCCAGAAGGUCCUGCAGCUGCAGCAGGAGCUUGUGCACGCUGGCAGAGUGCAGCCUCUGGCAGAGUCCUGCCACGAAGCCCAGAAGCUUUCCAGCAGCUGCCUGCAGCAGGAGAGCAGUGAGCUGCAGAGGGAGAAUGUCAGUUUGCAGGAGGAGCUGGAGAGAUCUGAAGCUAAGGGUCCAAGGUGAACAUUGCAGGCUGAGCAGCACAGCCCAGGAGCAAGCCAGGAGCACUGCAGCCCUUCAUAAAGACCUGCAAGCUGCUGCCUCGGGCUCUGGUUUCCUUCUCUCUCUCCCCUUGAGCUCACUCUGUCUCAAAGCAGGGCAGUACCCAGCGCCAAGGCAGAUGUUCACCCCCAGGAGGUCAGCCAGAGCUCACCUUGCCAUCCCCACCUGUGCUGGAGACUGUUCUCAGCGUAGCUGCACUCAGCGGAGUAGCCUUCCCCAUCGGGAGCCUUCCAGCCCAUGGCACACUCCUGCUGCUGCGUGUCUGAGGGGCAGCCAGCACUGAGCACACCUU